GAGGCUUUCAGCGAGCAGAGAGGCGAGAGAGGCACGUGAUUGUCAGACAAGCAAGGCUGGGACUAGGCAGCAUUGUUUGCAAUUCAAUGACUUUUGAAGCUGAGGAAACGUGAGUCAUCCUCAAGACAGACCGGGUUUGUUAGAUCUUGACAUCACUGGUAGGAGCCAGGUGGUGUUUGCAGUGGGCACUGGGCUAGGAGGGAAGAUCCUGGGGUGACGAGGCAGUGGCCUGACUUCCUGGACGGGGUCCAACCCCUGCCCUGUGUCCUAGGAGCCUUGAAGAAAGACAUCUCCGGAGAUGGAAGGGCCUUGGUGUCUCUCAGCACUGCUGUGGGGCUCCAGUCACAGCUGCUGAUGGGAGAGGCUCCUUUCCCAGGCCAUGAUGGCAGGGCAGUGCCUCACACUCCUAGAUAAGGCGGAGUUAAGAUUGCCAAAUUGGGCUUUUCUGGGAUGGGGACUACAAGCUCCCUUUA
rnacentral:lncRNA from 1 species